CAUUUUGAAAUCCCUAAGGUAGAAGAUAAUGUAUUUAUUUGCUGUCUCUAAGUGAUGUCCCCUACCUUGUCCUUCACCAUUGAAUGGAAGUCAAGUGUGCCUAUCCCUACUGCUUCCCACAUGUGGCUGCCUCUUCCUGAAGGAACUCCCCUGUCUGGCACUGGGAAAAUAUCUAUUCUUCUUAAAUCUCUCAAAUGAAUGAAAUUGUUCCUAACCGACUUAUGUCUUACUCAGUCCUUCAGGGAGAUUACUCUAUUAUUUCUGCUGCCUCUAAAUCUGGUACUUAUUUUUUAUCAGGACACUCAUAAGGUGUUGUUACUACAUCCGUUAGUUUAAACCAGGGAUCCUCAAUCUGUAGGUCACAACCCAUUUGGGAGCCGAACAACCGUUUCAUAAAAGUCAGCUAAGACCAUCAGAAAACACAGACAUUUACGUUAUGAUUCAUACCAGUACUAGAAUUUCAGUUGUGAAGUAGCAGUGAGAAUAAUUUUAUGGUUGAAGGUCUGCACGACAUGGGGAACUGUAUUAAAGGGUUGUAGCAUCAGGAAGGUGAAGACCCACUGGUUUGAACCCUCCCCUAUUAAAUUAGGUCAGAAAUAGAAUGCUUAGGGAUUGGUGAGAAGUCAGGUGAGUAAAUUUACUUCAUUUCCUUGCAUUUUCAUAGCAUAGGGUUCUCUUCAAACAUGUUCUAUUCAAAAUAACAAGUGUGGUUCAAUUUCGCAGCGGUGGCAGAGAGAGAUCAUCAGCGCAGGUGACCACGAUCUCCCAGUAGCGCUACAGUGAAUGGCUUUCGUUAUGUCCGUGAGAGACAGCAACACUAUUUCUGAGUUUCUGAAGUGUGUUGAGAGUGGUGGUUUAGUUAUAGCAUAAACAAAGAACAAAGGGCAGUUUGUUUGCGUAUCUAAAUGGGGGAUUGUUGGGGAAGAGUAGUGCCAGCCACUGCAGAGUGGAUAGGGUUUUAUUUCUUUCAAGAUAGAUUGGCUGCUGGCUUGCCCGAGUUCCUGCUGUUUUAUAGCCUUCCCCUUGAAUCAGAAAAUGAAUAACUCUCUUUCUUUUUUCCUUGAAUUGCUGGUGAAAAAAAAAUCUAUAAUUUAAAUCAAACUGAAAAAAAAACUAUUGUCAUUAAAAUUAAGUUCCCCUGGAAUUUUACCCAAGUGACUCAUUGCCAAAAUAUCGGAUAUCUUGUUUAUUAAAUACUGUGGGUAUUUAUGUAAAUAGCGUGAUGAGAGAAUGCAGAUACACAAUUGAAUAUUGUACUAUUAGGUGAAGAUGUUCCUGGAGACCUUUUGCUGAAAGAUAGUCUAACAAAAAUUAACAAGUUCCACGAUUUAAUUUUGACUUUGUUUUUUGCUUAAUAAACAUUUCUUGAGUGCAGAAAAAUUCCCCGAAGGGAACAGAAGCAUCAAGAAAUAAAUUAUGCCCAGAAUCAAAACUCACGAGGCAGAUGGAAGCUUUUGAGAUGAAACUUUGGAGUCUCAGUAAGAGCCGGUGUGGUGUGUAGUUCUCUAACCCCAGCUCUCAGAAAGGACAGGCAGGUUUUUUGUAGAACCCUUUUUCACAAGGAAACAACAGCAACAUCAGCAACAACACAAGAAUCACAGGAAGACACGGGAUGGGUCUCUGGCCUAAAAACAGAGGACACGGGGCUAUUUCCAACAUUUUUUCCUUUCACGUGGUGACUGGAGAAGUCUCCGGUCCCUAGGGAAGACAGGGGACUGAGGUUGAGUCCUGGAAGACCUUUGGAUUUAAUUUGUUCAUGAGUGUGGCAACUAAUUUUGUAUGUGGAACUGGCCAUUCUCAAGGAUCCAGCCAUUUAAACGAAUGUGAAUGUGGGUGUUGCCGUGAAGACAUUUUGAAGAUCUGGUCAACAUCUCAAUCAGCUUGUUGUAAGAAAAGCACGUUAUGUAUACCACUGGCCAUACACGAAACUGCAUGCUGUCCCCUGUGAGAAGUAGUUAUGCCACCAUCUUCAAAUCUUGCUAAUUUUCAGCCCUUCCAGCCUGCCAUUGGGGAUUUCUUCCUUGCCAGAUUCAUGCCAGUAUCUGUGAGCUAAUUCUUUAAACUAAUUGUCUUUAAAUAUAAGUAGUAUAAAUGCAUACUAUAUAUAAUAUACUAUAAAUAUAUAUUAAUAAAUUUAAGAAAUAUAUGCAUUUGACCACAAUUGCAGGC
ensembl:lncRNA